UACGAGGGGUGCAAGCGUUGCUCGGAAUUAUUGGGCGUAAAGGGCAAGUAGGUGGUCUCAUUUGUCUGGGGUGAAAGCCUUGAGCUUAACUCAAGAAGUGCCCCGGAAACGGUGAGACUCGAGUAUUGGAGAGGGUCGUGGAAUUCCCGGUGUAGCGGUGAAAUGCGUAGAGAUCGGGAGGAACAUCAGUGGCGAAGGCGGCCAUCUGGGACAACACUGACGCUGAGGCACGAAAGCGUGGGGAGCAAACAGG
rnacentral:rRNA from 1 species